GGUCCUACGGGAGGCAGCAGUGGGGAAUAUUGGGCAAUGGGCGCAAGCCUGAACGAGCAAUGCCGCGUGAACGAGGAAGGUCUUCGGAUCGUAAAGUUCUGUUGAAGGGGAAAAAGAGCGGAGAGAGGAAAUGAACUCCGAUUGAUAUUACCCUUCGAGGAAGUCACGGCUAACUACGUGCCAGCAGCCGCGGUAAUACGUAGGUGGCGAGCGUUAUCCGGAAUGAUUGGGCGUAAAGGGUGCGUAGGCGGCCUGCUAAGUCUGGAGUGAAAGGUACCGGCUCAACCGGUAUAGGCUCUGGAAAC
rnacentral:rRNA from 1 species